UACGUAGGGAGCGAGCGUUGUCCGGAUUCAUUGGGCGUAAAGCGCUUUAAGGCGGUUCGCUAAGUCGCGUGUGAAACCUCCAGGCUCAACCUGGAGACGCCACGCGAUACUGGCGUGACUAGAGUUCGGUAGGGGAUCACGGAAUUCCAGGUGUAGCGGUGAAAUGCGUAGAUAUCUGGAGGAACACCGGUGGCGAAGGCGACAUCCUGGACCGGUAUUGACGCUGAGGCGCGAAAGCCAGGGGAGCAAACGGG
rnacentral:rRNA from 1 species